rnacentral:ncRNA from 2 species
AUAAAUAAUGGUGAUGGGGUUCACCAAAAUCGCUUAAUGCUAAUGACUCCUACAGGAAU